rnacentral:rRNA from 1 species
GGCAGCAGUGGGGAAUUUUGGACAAUGGGCGAAAGCCUGAUCCAGCAAUGCCGCGUGCAGGAAGAAGGCCUUCGGGUUGUAAACUGCUUUUGUACGGAACGAAACGGUCUGCUUUAAUACAGUGGGCUAAUGACGGUACCGUAAGAAUAAGCACCGGCUAACUACGUGCCAGCAGCCGCGGUAAUACGUAGGGUGCGAGCGUUAAUCGGAAUUACUGGGCGUAAAGCGUGCGCAGGCGGUGAUGUAAGACAGUUGUGAAAUCCCCGGGCUCAACCUGGGAAUUGCAUCUGUGACUGCAUCGCUAGAGUGCGGUAGAGGGGGAUGGAAUUCCGCGUGUA